rnacentral:rRNA from 1 species
GAUGAACGCUGGCGGCGUGCCUAAUACAUGCAAGUCGAACGAACAGACUAGACGCUUGCUCCUCUGACGAUAGCCUCGGACGUGUGAGUAGCACAUUGAUAACCUACCUAUCAGACUGGGAUAACUUCGGGACACCUGAGCUAGUAACGUAUAAUAUCAUGAACCUAAUUAUUCCAUAGUAAAAGACUGUUUUGCUCUAACUUAUAACUACAUCGUCGACGCAUUAUCUAUUUGGUAAGAUAACGGGUUACCAAGGCAACGAUGCGUAGCCGACCUGAGAGGGUGAUCGGCCACACUGGAACGGAGACACGGUCCAGACUCCUACGGGAGGCAGCAGUAGGGAAUCUUCGGCAAUGGGCGAAAGCCUGACGGAGCAACGCCGCGUGAGUGAUGAAGGUCUUCGGAUCUUAAAACUCUGUUAUUAGGGAAGAACAAAUGUGUAAGUAACUAUGCACGUCUUGACGGUACCUAAUCAGAAAGCCACGGCUAACUACGUG